rnacentral:lncRNA from 1 species
ACUCACCAAUUACACAGAAAGUUUAAUACUCGUCGAAGUAACAAAGCUAGUACCGUACUCCACAGUACAUAUAUACCAUCUACAACUUUUAGCACAAAGGAAUCCCCAAUGACCCUGAGAUUUGGUGUGAAUGGACUCAACUUUCACCAGUUUGCCCGGCCAACGAGCAAUGGGUUUCACGUUGUUCUCUUUCAUUUGGUUGAAGGCCAAUCCAUGUAUUUGCAGCCACACAUCCAGUUCAUGAAAAUAGAGGUUCUACUGUCUCCUCUGAGCAUCCCAUCUCUGCAGGUUUAUGCAAUUUCCCCUAAUCGACCAAGGGCCAGAACUCAGGACUCUCUCUGCUAAGUGCCAAUCGUGAAACCUGAGCAAAUAUACACCUUAUUUUGAGGGUUUAUAGUAAUCUCACCCAUAACAGCCCAGGCUUUCCUUCAAAAAACUAGCUACUCAGCUGGACUCAAGCACUUGUCCGACAAAAUCCUUCCGAUCAAAACCAUCUCAGCUUCCUCAUCAUCAACUUGCUCCAAAACCAAAUGAUCCCCCAGAAGAUCGUCUACCAGAAAUGCAUAAGGGAACCUUCGCUGGCAUCCUGUAAAAGAAAUAGAUUAGCCAAGGAUCAACUCAGAAAUGUCGUCGAACGGUUGAUAGGGGCAGAUUGUAGUGACAGGAAAAAUAAUGUGACGAAACAAUGCCAAAGAGACUUAACUAAAAUAGAAAGCAAACGGAAAUAACUAAUGAUGACAGCGCGAAUAUGAGGAUUAUGGAUGAUUGAGAAGAAGGGGGGGUGACAAUCAUGGAGGAAGGUAGCCGAAAGAAAACAUCAUUGUGAUGUAGGGAAAGCUCUCGACAAAGAGAGAAGCUCUCACAGAGGGAAGAGACACGAAUCUAUGUGUACCUUCUGGAAGAGAACUCAAUAUCCC